GGGGAACUCAGGGAACUGAAACAUCUAAGUACCUGAAGGAAGAGAAAGAAAUUCGAUUCCGUAAGUAGCGGCGAGCGAACGCGGAUUAGCCCAAACCAAUAAAGUUUUCUUUAUUGGGGUUGAGGACAUACCACAUAUAAGAGGUCAUUAUAGACGAAGAAGUUUGGAAAAACUCAUCAUAGAAGGUAAUAAUCCUGUAGUCAAAAUAAUAAUUCUUUAGGUAUGAUCCAGAGUACCACGGGACACGUGAAACCCUGUGGGAAGCAGGAGGGACCACCCUCCAAGGCUAAAUACUACCUAGUGACCGAUAGCGUAUAGUACCGUGAGGGAAAGGUGAAAAGAACCCCGGGAGGGGAGUGAAAUAGAACCUGAAACCCUGCACUUACAAGCUGUGGAAGCACAUUUCUUGUGUGACCACGUACUUUUUGUAGAACGGGCCAACGAGUUACGUUAAGUAGCAAGGUUAAGCACUUAAGGUGCGGAGCCGUAGCGAAAGCGAGUUUUAACUGAGCGUUCAGUUACUUGACGUAGACCCGAAA
rnacentral:rRNA from 1 species